rnacentral:rRNA from 1 species
AUGGCCGCCUUGCUGCCAAUGAUGUAUGCAUCACUCUUUCUGCCAGCAUCCGUGGCUGUAGCCAGCCACGAUCCUGAAGGGAGUUGGGCACAUCCAGGUGCCACUCUUGAAGGUUGCCCAACGAGCUGCGGCAAUCUGAGCGUCGACUACCCCUUCGGCAUCGGAUCCAGGUGCUCCCGUGGUCCAGAUUUUAAUCUCACUUGCAACGACACCACUAAGCCCCCCACGCUCUUCCUGAGCGACGGCAUCAGCGAGGUGCUCGAUGACCUUGCCGUUAGCUAUCAGGAUGAUGGCAAUCUUCAUCUUGACAGAAUCUUCAGUACCUCCUUCCGGCAUACCAUCCUCAUGAAACCUGGUGUCCAUGUCUAUGACUGGUCUUUCAAACCGCCUGGGAGGUCCUUUGAGUACAUCGGGCAAACAGCUCUAAACAUCACCGGCUGUGACCUGGACGUGUAUUGGGUCAAUGACAAUGCCGGCACUACCACACGGGCCUGCAGAACUGUGUGCCCAGACCAAGGGAUCACAGAGACGGUGGCUAGGCACCAUUGUAACGGCACCGGCUGUUGUAGUUUUAAUGUUGGUGCCCUUGACAAUGGUGCUUUUCACCUUAAAUUUGUCCAGGGGCACAAAAAAAUCAACAACGGUGCAGGGUCUAAGUCUAACCGGACUGCUCCACUGUGGGAUAGAAUCAGUAUAACAGAUGAUGGUGGUGUCAUGAUUUUGUGGCAAAUAGUGGAUCAACCCAACUGUGUUGCUGCCAUGCGAGACAGGACAGCAUACGCCUGUGUCAGCAAACACUCCGACUGCUACGAUGUAGAAGGCUACAUCUGCGUCUGCAACCCCGGCUAUUCAGGCAACCCCUUCAUUAAAGAAGGCUGCUCCAAAGACAAAGGGUAUAAUCCAAUUCCGAGUAGGGUUGACUGUACUCGUCGGUGUGGUAACAUUACUGUGGAAUUCCCGUUUGGCUUAGAAGAGGGUUGCUUUGCCCGGGAAGAGUUUCACCUCAACUGCACAAAUACAACGUCAUCGACUGUUCUAAUGCUGGAGGAUUUUGAGGUGGCCGGCAUGAAUAUUGAAAAAGGGACCUUUGAGUACAACGACCAUAGCCCUGUAGAACAAAUAUCUGGAGGACGCAUCCUUUUUGUGGGUUAUGAGUUUUUAUCCUCUCUGCAGUGGGUAGCUGCCAAUCUAAGUUGCCUAGAAGCCCAACUUGAUACAUCUGGAUAUGCUUGUGUGAGUAUCAACAGCAGGUGCGUGGGAGUAAAUGCUACAAUUGACUAUAGAUUUUCUGAAGCUACUAAAGAAGACACCUAUGUCGGUUAUCGUUGUAAAUGCACUGACGGCUUCAAAGGAAACCCAUACAUCCAAAAUGGCUGUCGAGAUAUUAAUGAAUGCCUCCAACCAAACAUCUGUAAAGCGAACUGCCAUAAUAUUGAAGGAAGCUUCUAUUGUACGGAGUGUCCUCGCGGUACCGAGUAUGAUCUGGACAAAAUGCAGUGUACAACAACAAAACAACAAAUUCUGCUUUCAGGUAUUAUUAUUGGGUUGUGUGCUGGCUUCGGCAUUCUAGCUCUGAGUUUUAGUGCAACAUUUCUCAUUCGUAGAUGGAAUAGAAAUGUUCAACGGCAACUACGGAAGAAUUGAUUCCAGAGGAACCAUGGUCUUCUCCUUGAAACGUUGAUAUCAUCUGAUGAAAGUGCAAAUGACAAAGCAAAGAUUUUCUCGUUACAAGAGCUAGAAAAAGCAAUAGACAACUUUGAUAGGGCACGCAUCAUUGGGAGUGGGGGCCAUGGCACGGUUUAUAAAGGCAUAUUAUCUGAUCAACGUGUGGUUGCAAUAAAAAGGCCUAAGGUCAUUGAGCAGGCAGGGAUCACUCAAUUCAUCAAUGAGGUCGCAAUCCUCUCGCAAAUAAACCAUAGAAACAUUGUAAAGCUCUUUGGCUGUUGUCUAGAAACUGAGGUUCCACUGCUCGUCUAUGAACAUAUGUCUGGUGGCUCACUGUCUCAAUUCCUCCAUGCGGACUCAAGCAAUAGUUUUUCUUUGUCCUGGGAUGAUUACUUAAGGAUUUCCAUGGAAACAGCAGGAGCACUAUCUUAUCUCCACUCCGCGGCUUCAAUGUCAAUCUUCCAUUGUGACGUGAAAUCGUCAAAUAUACUCCUGGACGGGAAAUACACAGCUAAAGUUUCAGAUUUUGGUGCUUCUAGAUUGGUUCCAAUCAACCAAACGCACAUUGUUACGAAUGUGCAAGGUACAUUUGGGUACUUAGAUCCAGAGUAUUUUCAUACCAGACAGUUAAAUGAGAAGAGUGAUGUGUAUAGUUUUGGUGUGGUACUAGUGGAGUUGCUUGUUCGAAUGAAGCCUAUCAUCACAAGUGAAUCAGGCACAAUGCAGAAUUUAUCAAACUACUUCCUAAGGGAGUUGAGCGAGGGAGGGAUCGCCGAUAUACUGAAUUCUCAAGUCCUUGAGGAAGCAACUGAGGAAGAGAUUAUCAAUGUCGCCACUCUCGCGGAACGGUGCUUAAGACUGCAUGGUGAAGAAAGACCCACCAUGAAACAAGUUGAGGUUGAGUUGCAGACUUUACGAACAACUAGAGCAAGCUCAUGUCAAGAUCCAAGCAAUGAAGAACAAACACAGCCAACCUUGUUAACUCAAGGAGCUGAAGUUGAUUUCCAGUCGCCAGCCACGGAAUUGGGUUGCAGAGUCAACUUAGAGUCGAGCCAAGGGUGCUAUGACUUGCAGCAAGAGUUCAUGGAAUCAGCUAGUCUACCGCGCUAG